AAUCAACGCUGGCGGCGUGCCUAACACAUGCAAGUCGAACGAGAAAGUGGAGCAAUCCAUGAGUAAAGUGGCGCACGGGUGAGUAACACGUGACUAACCUACCUUUGAGUGGGGGAUAACCUAGGGAAACCUGGGCUAAUACCGCAUAAUACCUAUGGGUCAAAGGAGCAAUUCGCUUAAAGAGGGGGUCGCGGCAGAUUAGUUAGUUGGCAGGGUAAUGGCCUACCAAGACGAUGAUCUGUAUCCGGCCUGAGAGGGCGCACGGACACACUGGAAC
rnacentral:rRNA from 1 species